UUUCGGUAAAAUUUAGACCGGUUCUUGUGCGUUUUGAAACGACCCGAUAGCAGAAUAGGAUUCACCUUCCAAAAUCCUACACAGCAGUGUCGCUAACUAUUAUGUCCACUUUCGUUUGGGUUUUAAUUCUACAGCCUACUCGUGUAUACCUAUAUCGAGGGUAGACAAUAGGUGACCCGCGGACGAUAUCUAGUCCACGGAGAGGAAACAAACGGCCCGUCAAAAUUGUUUUAAUAUAAUUCUGGUAUUUUUGUUUUCGUCAUUUGUCUCCAUGUAGAUCCAGAAUAUCCGAGCGUCCGAACGUAAUCUAU